rnacentral:lncRNA from 1 species
ACAGAGGCUGGCAGAGUAUCAGAGUGCACAGUACAUGUCUGGGGUAUGACAGAGCUCAGUUAUCAUAAUGGUGAUGAGUUGGCAGUUUGAAACUGUUGUCACGGUUAACAGAGAGGGGUGGAUUGAAGGAAAUGUGGAGACAGCAGCACACCGCCUAGGGCCUCAGUGUCAUGCCCAUCCAUUCAGGCCAAUCUCCUGGCUCCUGCUUAGAGAAACAGGCCAAUCUCCUGGCUCCUGCUUAGAGAAACAGGUUAGAGGAGGCUUGGUGGACACUGAGAAAUUUUGUCUCUAGUCCCUGGUGGUACUGGAUGCAGGGCAACCACCAUCCUCAUGACCACAUCUGAGAAGUCACCAAGCAGGUGAGUGGACACACUGUAUUUCACCUUUUCAUAUAAUUUUAAAGGAGACUGAGUCAUUGUAGCAGCCAAUGUGCCUUUGUCAGUGGUUUUCAUUUAGG